CCGGAAGGUGUGGCUGGAUCACCUCCUUUUAGGGAGACCUUACCUGUUUUUUUCAAGCAAUAAGAUUCGCUGAGGGAAACGAGGUCAUCUCAAGGUCGGUCAGGACCUGAUUAGGGUUGGCUUUCAAUAUUUGUCGAGAAUUAUGGGCUAUUAGCUCAGGUGGUUAGAGCGCACCCCUGAUAAGGGUGAGGUCCCUGGUUCGAGUCCAGGAUGGCCCACUGAGUGGGGGUAUAGCUCAGCUGGUAGAGCGCCUGCUUUGCAAGCAGGAUGUCAGCGGUUCGAGUCCGCUUACCUCCACCACGAAAGGUUAUGGGAGAGUGCAGCAAGAUGAUGGAGACGUUAUCCUGCUGUGUUCUGAGGAACAUAGCGAGACCCUUGACAACUGCAUAGAGCAACGAGAGUCAAAAGGUAGUUGAAGACAAAUCUUAUUUCGAUAGAUUGAGAGAAGGUCAAGCUACAAAGGGCUCACGGUGGAUACCUAGGCACACAGAGGCGAAGAAUCUCUAGAGGAUCCCC
rnacentral:tRNA from 1 species